rnacentral:rRNA from 1 species
AAGGUGGAUUUGUAAGUAAUUUUUCUUUAUGGUUGUUAAGUGAAGGGUGGAAUAACAUGUGUACAUAUUGCCCGUCGCUCUCGUUAUUUUUGAGAUAAGUCGUAACAUAGUUGGUGUACUGGAAAGUGUAUCUUUUUGU